UGCAGAUCUAUCACUCCAAAUGGAAUAGAAUGACAGCCAGAUCAAUUGACCUGUCUUCCAAUUCUACCCCUUCUGAAAAAGAAAGAAUGAGCCCAACUGCUCCCGAGUAAAACAAGAAGAAAAAAAGAUCCAUUGGAAUGGUCCUUGAGGGUGUUUCUGCUCAGUGCCAUGGCUCAUGCCCAGAGAGCUGAGGCUAUCACAAACUUCAGUUUUCAUGAAGACUGAACAAGUCCAACUCUCCCAACCCUUCUUCGUAAGAGAUGUGCUCCAGCCCUCUGAGCAUCUUCAUGGCCCUCCUCUGGAUCUGCUCCAACAUCUCCACAUCUUUCCUAAGCUGGUGGCCCCAGGCCUGGACGCAGUACUGCAGAUGGAGUCUCACAAGGAUAGAGCAGAGGGUGACAAUCCCCUCCCUCAACCUGCUGCCACCCCUCUGUUGAUGCAGCCCAAUACACUGUUGGCCUUCUGGGCUGCAAGCACGCACUUCUGGCUCAUGUCCGGCUUUUUGUCCACCAGAACUCCCUAGUCCUUCUCUGCAGAGCUGCUCUCAGUGAGUCCUUCUCCCAGUCUGUACUCAUAUCUGGGAUUACCUCAACCCAAGUGCAAGAGAUAAGGAUGUGGUGUGGGACCGUGUCAAAGGCCUUGCUCAAGUCCAGAUAGAUGAUACCAGUUGCCCUUACUUUGUCCACUGAUGCC
ensembl:lncRNA